rnacentral:lncRNA from 1 species
GGGUGUAUAAUGGUUUGGUUAACUAAAAAAAAUCGAACCAAAUCAUUAAUUAUUUUAGUGUUUGGUUCAGUUUCUUUCUGAAAAUUUUGAUUUUGGUUUAAAACUGAACCAAAAUUUUUUAAUCGAUUCGAUCUUUGAUAUUUAAUUUGAUAAUUUUGAUUAACCAAAACUCAAAAUUAUCUGAUUUUUUUUGAUUUAAUAUUUAUAUUUGGACUAAAUAUUACUUGAAUCA